GUGCCAGCAGCCGCGGUAAUACGUAGGUGGCAAGCGUUAUCCGGAAUUAUUGGGCGUAAAGCGCUCGCAGGCGGUCUUUUAAGUCUGAUGUGAAAGCCCACGGCUCAACCGUGGAGGGUCAUUGGAAACUGGGAGACUUGAGUGCAGAAGAGGAGAGUGGAAUUCCACGUGUAGCGGUGAAAUGCGUAGAGAUGUGGAGGAACACCAGUGGCGAAGGCGACUCUCUGGUCUGUAACUGACGCUGAGGAGCGAAAGCGUGGGGAGCGAACAGGAUUAGAUACCCUGGUAGUCCACGCCGUAAACGAUGAGUGCUAAGUGUUAGAGGGUUUCCGCCCUUUAGUGCUGCAGCAAACGCAUUAAGCACUCCGCCUGGGGAGUACGGUCGCAAGACUGAAACUCAAAGGAAUUGACGGGGGCCCGCACAAGCGGUGGAGCAUGUGGUUUAAUUCGAAGCAACGCGAAGAACCUUACCAGGUCUUGACAUCCUUAUGCCUUCCCUAGAGAUAGGGCUUUCCCUUCGGGGACAUAAGUGACAGGUGGUGCAUGGUUGUCGUCAGCUCGUGUCGUGAGAUGUUGGGUUAAGUCCCGCA
rnacentral:rRNA from 1 species